UGGGUUGUAAACUGCUUUUAUACGGGAAGAAACACUCCCUCGUGAGGGAGCUUGACGGUACCGUAUGAAUAAGGAUCGGCUAACUCCGUGCCAGCAGCCGCGGUAAUA
rnacentral:rRNA from 1 species